rnacentral:rRNA from 1 species
UUGAACGCUGGCGGCAUGCCUUACACAUGCAAGUCGAACGGUAGAGGGGCAACCCUUGAGAGUGGCGAACGGGUGAGUAAUAUAUCGGAACGUGCCCAAUCGUGGGGGAUAACGCAGCGAAAGCUGCGCUAAUACCGCAUACGAUCUAUGGAUGAAAGCGGGGGAUCGCAAGACCUCGCGCGAUUGGAGCGGCCGAUAUCAGAUUAGGUAGUUGGUGGGGUAAAAGCCCACCAAGCCGACGAUCUGUAGCUG